UAGGACGAAAAUCCGUUGGUUUCGCGGGACCGUGAGGGUUCGAAUCCCUCUAUCCCCAGC
rnacentral:tRNA from 23 species